GCAAAGGGAAAGCAAGUGGGGCCUCUCCAACUUUGGCCACCUUGUAAGUGACUGAUGUCUGGAAUUGCUCAUGUGCCUGCUGGAGAAAUGAGGAUCACUGGGAAUGAACUGGCAUGUUAUAUUCUGGGGAGUUACUCCCAGGUGGACCAGUCAGGGAUGCGUUUGUCCCGAAGGGACCGAUCAGCCGAACGGCAGAAUCUGUCGCCCGGAGGACCCGUCGUGAGGCCUGAGUUCCCCCAUACAUUUAGAAGUUGGCCUUCAGUAUUCCUCCCUCUGGCUAUCUCUGGGGCAUGUUCCAGUGCAGAGCUCUCCAUAAAAGAUCACCUAAAGCGUCAUUUCUCAUUCAUCUGUGGCGGUGGACAACGGCAUCCCAGCUGAGACCCGGUUAUCGGGUCCGGCAAGCCUGGAAAAUUGCAAGACCUUGGUAAUUCGGGAUUGAUCUUACCAUUUUACACUGGCUAUCCGUUUGCUGUUCACCUCACCCUCUGCCCCGCAGGACUUAUGUACCUAUCGGAAAUUAAUUAAUUUACA